rnacentral:RNase_MRP_RNA from 1 species
GGGCAUUCAGAAGGUUUGCACUCUGGGCUACAAGCAGAGAACCUGGUUUCUCCCCCCCCCCGCCCAGGGGAAAGUCCCCGGACCCGUGGCAGAAAGUGCCCUUGGUUGAACCCAAGCUCGGGCUGUGCUCCGUCAUCCUUGAGCUGAGACGUUCAUCUGAACAGAGCUCGGCGAUCGCAGCCCGACCUCUGUCAGCAUUGAUAGUAAUGCAAACAAGUUGCAUCAACUCAACGGGGCUCAUUCUCCGAAUGCA